rnacentral:rRNA from 1 species
GACGAACGCUGGCGGCGUGCUUAACACAUGCAAGUCGAACGCUGAAGCUUGGUGCUUGCACUGGGUGGAUGAGUGGCGAACGGGUGAGUAAUACGUGAGUAACCUGCCCUUGACUCUGGGAUAAGCCUGGGAAACUGGGUCUAAUACUGGAUACGACAUGUCACCGCAUGGUGGUGUGUGGAAAGGGUUUUACUGGUUUUGGAUGGGCUCACGGCCUAUCAGCUUGUUAGUGGGGUAAUGGCUCACCAAGGCGACGACGGGUAGCCGGCCUGAGAGGGUGACCGGCCACACUGGGACUGAGACACGGCCCAGACUCCUACGGGAGGCAGCAGUGGGGAAUAUUGCACAAUGGGCGGAAGCCUGAUGCAGCGACGCCGCGUGAGGGAUGACGGCCUUCGGGUUGUAAACCUCUUUCAGCACGGAAGAAGCGAAAGUGACGGUACGUGCAGAAGAAGCGCCGGCUAACUACGUG